CAAGCAGGUCCUCCCACCUUGCGCUUCCAAAGUGCUGUGAUUCCAGGAUGCAUCUCUCAUGGUUGAAGAAGUGGUGGAGGAUGGCAUAGGAGAGAGUGCCUGAGGAUCCUUGCCUGGAACAAGUUAUGGAAAGAAAAUCUUUCAGCUUGGGCUCUAGGAAAAGAGCCUUUUAUCCCAUCUUGUCUUCUAGUCCAUUUUGAAUCAAGACUCGUUGAGGACUUCUUUGAGAAGAAUCUGUGUUGAAGAAGGAAAAAGAAACACUGUUUGAGAGAAGGCAAACAGGCAAAAAGGAUGAUAGAAGCAUGCAUUUUUGUUGUAUAUAUAUCUCUAAGAGACCUUCCUAGAGUGAAAGUUGAGAACUGAAAAGGGAGUAAAUUAAGGAAUGACUGAAUUUUGUGGAUCUUGAUGGAAAAACGCUGGCCUUUUUUUAAUGUGGUAAAACAGCUGGUGCUUCAGUCCUAGGAAUUAUGUCUCUGCCAUGGGCAGUUAUCAUAAACUCUUCUCACAAUCAGAA